rnacentral:lncRNA from 1 species
GAAGUCAAGUCCCAGCAUUCCGAGAGGGGGAGUCUGUGAAAGGGGGAGUUAGAGUUCUGGAUCAACAAUCAAAGGGGAGACUGAAGAUAGAGAUGGGUCAAGAUCCUGAACCUAUGAAGAGAGAGUUUUUACAAUGAAAAGACAGAGUUGGAUAGAGACAAAGACUGAAGAUUCGAUGCCGAAGACUUCGUCAACAUCCAAGGAGGAGUCUGUUGAUUGUUUAGGAGUUUGGAAUUGAAAAAGUGGUUUUAGAAUGUAAUUCCACUUGAAAUGACAAGAAGUCAUUUCAAGCGAAAUCAGGUUAUUUUGUAAUUCCGCUCCAGAUGGCAAGUUGUAAUUCCGCUCCAAGUGUUCGUGGUGAUUCCGCUCGAGAUCAGUCAUCAUCAUGGGGUUCCGCUUGAACAGUUUCAAGCGGAAUCAGAACCACUAUAUAUAUGUGUGAUGAUUUCAUUCGUAACGUUGGAGCGGAAUCUGGUCAUGUUGUAGGUGUCGAAUUGCUGUCAAAAUUUACUCAGAAAGUAUUAAUAGAAAGGA